AUUGAACGCUGGCGGAAUGCUUACACAUGCAAGUCGAACGGCAGCACGGACUUCGGUCUGGUGGCGAGUGGCGAACGGGUGAGUAAUGUAUCGGAACGUGCCCAGUCGUGGGGGAUAACGUAGUGAAAAUUACGCUAAUACCGCAUACGAUCUAUGGAUGAAAGCGGGGGAUCGCAAGACCUCGCGCGAUUGGAGCGGCCGAUAUCAGAUUAGGUAGUUGGUGGGGUAAAGGCCCACCAAGCCAACGAUCUGUAGCUGGUCUGAGAGGACGACCAGCCACACUGGAACUGAGACACGGUCCAGACUCCUACGGGAGGCAGCAGUGGGGAAUUUUGGACAAUGGGCGAAAGCCUGAUCCAGCCAUUCCGCGUGCAGGAUGAAGGCCCUCGGGUUGUAAACUGCUUUUGUACAGAACGAAAAGGUUUCUACUAAUACUAGGAGCUCAUGACGGUACUGUAAGAAUAAGCACCGGCUAACUACGUGCCAGCCGCCGCAUAA
rnacentral:rRNA from 1 species